GUAAAAAUGUAGCUGCGGAGUGCCUCUUACAGAAUGCUUUUAAGGAAAUUCAGUGCUGUGAAAAUGGUCUCUCUAAGAAUCUUUCUGAAGAAUUGCUCAAGCUUUUGUGGACAGUUCAUGUAACAUCUGAGGACUUCGUAUUUCCUGAGAACUAUAUGAAUGCUACCAGAGAAGCAACAUGGGACAGACAAAAGUGACAAUAUAGAAAACAAGACUUGUCAGAACACAAUUACUUCAUCCCGACAGCCCCCUUUUGGAAGGCACCAUUAAUUCUCCAUCACAUGGCUCAGUAUUUCAGAAGAUUAUUUUGUGUAUCUGUACAUAUAUAGA